rnacentral:rRNA from 1 species
UACGAAGGGGGCUAGCGUUGUUCGGAUUUACUGGGCGUAAAGCGCACGUAGGCGGUUAUUUAAGUCAGAGGUGAAAUCCCAGGGCUCAACCCUGGAACUGCCUUUGAUACUGGAUAUCUAGAGUAUGGAAGAGGUGAGUGGAAUUCCGAGUGUAGAGGUGAAAUUCGUAGAUAUUCGGAGGAACACCAGUGGCGAAGGCGGCUCACUGGUCAAUUAUUGACGCUGAGGUGCGAAAGCGUGGGGAGCAACCAGG